AUCUGUUCGUGCUUUGACGAAAAGGAAACGAAAGAUGAAACAUAAAUCAUGGAUCAACUAAGCCCUCUCGGGGGCUUGCUUAAGAAUCAGAAAGAGGAAUCUCAUACCAUGGUAUCUACAUG